rnacentral:rRNA from 1 species
AGUCACUGACAUUAGAUACCCCUGUAGUCCCAGCCGUAAACAAUGUGCGUUAGGUGUGUCGGUAACCACGUGUUACUGAUGCGCCGAAGAGAAAUCGUGAAACGCACCACCUGGGAAGUACGGUCGCAAGGCUGAAACUUAAAGGAAUUGGCGGGGGAGCACCACAACAGGUGGAGCCUGCGGUUUAAUUGGAUUCAACGCCGGACAUCUCACCGGAUAAGACAGCUGAAUGAUUGUCAAUCUGAAGGUUUUACAUGACUAGCUG